rnacentral:rRNA from 1 species
UACGUAGGGACCAAGCGUUGUUCGGAUUUACUGGGCGUAAAGGGCGCGUAGGCGGCAAAUUAAGUCAGCUGUGAAAUCUCCGAGCUUAACUCGGAACUGUCAGCUGAUACUGAUGUGCUAGAGUGCGGAAGGGGCAAUCGGAAUUCUUGGUGUAGCGGUGAAAUGCGUAGAUAUCAAGAGGAACACCUGAGGUGAAGACGGGUUGCUGGGCCGACACUGACGCUGAGUGCGCGAAAGCCAGUGGAGCAAACGGG